GGAAAAGACUCUGCCGUGACUGCGUCUCUCCUUGCCUCGUUUUUCCCGCUUGUUCUCUCUCUUGUUCGUCUUCGUUUUCUCUCUUUUUCCUCGCCAUCCCCCGAACCUUUUCGAAGGCAUUCUUUGCGGCUCUUCGCCCCCCUCUCUCGUAGGACCGUGGCAGGUUUUGCUCCGGGCCUAUCCGCUCAACGAAGAGAAAGCGACACAAAAUCGUCCUUAAAAACGCUUCGAAGACGACAAUCUUUCAUCCUUCAAGAGACUCCUACAGUCACCGAGUGAGCCCUCUCUUCUUUCUCUGCAGCCGCCGAACUCGCGAAAUUCCCGGGCUAGCUGAAGCCAGUGUCUCGCCUUCUGCGGUCUCCACUCAUCGAUGCUCGCCACAGCUGUGUCGAGACUGAACGUUGUGUCUAGCCGAUUCCGCGGAGUGAGAUACAGGAAUGCUAUCCCCCCGUGAUUUCUUCUCUUUCCCAGUUUCUCUCCUUUGCUUGGAGAUAGUCAACUGCAAAACGGCGAAAUGAGAGAAACCUCCUCCCUUUCAUCGUCCACGCGAGUCGGUCCCUCGUCAGUCUCCGUUCUACCGUCGAGCUCGGUACACAUAUCUUUUUUCGACUUCGAGGGGAAGAUGUGCGCAGGAAAAGUGAAAUGCUUCCGAGAACACAUGGCAACAGAGUCCACCACUGUGGCACAGGAACCGAAAUACGACGCUCUUUCUCAAGAGACGAGAAAGACGAAACAGCGGGGAUCCCACGAACCUACACAUAUAUUCGCGGAAAUCUCAAGAAAGAACGUCAAAGACACAAAUGUGUCCAGAGAUAAAUGCGCGAAUACCUGUUUAUCCAAAAGUUUUGCGCCUAGAGUUCGUAAACGUUAGAGGCAUCGCUCCUCAACGCUGAAAAGGUUCUUCCGCUAAGGGGGAGAGCGUGGGACCGCGGAGACACCCGAGUCUUUCUUUUCGAGCAAGGAUAGAAAAGGUACAAAUCGAAGGAUUAGAAAGGAAACAAACGCGCUCUUUCUCGGGCCUUGUUCGUCUCUCUUUUCGCUGCGAAUAACGCGUCUUGUUCACGCCGCUCGAACCUGUAUGUACACCCCCCGCGAGAAAAAGGGCUUUUUGCCACGCACUUCUUUCUCGCGUUUCUGCCAUCUCUCUUCGAGAAAACGUUUCCCGACGUCCCUGUUCCUGCGCACGCGGGCGUUUCUCUUGCAUGUUUCGAAAAACUCCCGUCCCUCUCUUUUGCCAAACAGAAG
rnacentral:lncRNA from 1 species